rnacentral:rRNA from 1 species
CAUCUAGGCGGUUUAUUAAGUCAGGGGUGAAAAGCCGAAGCUCAACUUUGGUCUUGCCUUUGAAACUGAUAGACUAGAAUACGGGAUAGGAGGGCGGAACUACAAGUGUAGAGGUGAAAUUCGUAGAUAUUUGUAGGAAUGCCGAUGACGAAGGUAGCUCUCUGGACCGAUAUUGACGCUGAAGUGCGAAAGCUAGGGUAGCAAACA